rnacentral:rRNA from 1 species
UACAGAGGUCUCAAGCGUUGUUCGGAAUUCAUUGGCGUAAAGGGUGCGUAGGCGGCGCGGUAAGUCGGGUGUGAAAUCUCGGAGCUUAACUCCGAAACUGCAUUCGAUACUGCCGUGCUGGAGGACUGGAGAGGAGACUGGAAUUUACGGUGUAGCGGUGAAAUGCGUAGAUAUCGUAAGGAAGACCAGUGGCGAAGGCGGGUCUCUGGGCCGAUACUGACGCUGAGGCACGAAAGCGUGGGGAGCAAACAGG